UGGGGAAUAUUGCACAAUGGGGGAAACCCUGAUGCAGCGACGCCGCGUGAGCGAAGAAGGCUUUCGAGUCGUAAAGCUCUGUCCUAUGAGAAGAUAAUGACGGUAUCAUAGGAGGAAGCCCUGGCUAAAUACGUGCCAGCAGCCGCGGUAAUACGUAUGGGGCGAGCGUUGUCCGGAAUUAUUGGGCGUAAAGGGUACGUAGGUGGUUUUUUAAGUCAGGUGUCAAAGCGUGGAGCUUAACUCCAUUAAGCACUUGAAACUGAUAGACUUGAGUGAAGGAGAGGAAAGUGGAAUUCCUAGUGUAGCGGUGAAAUGCGUAGAUAUUAGGAGGAAUACCGGUGGCGAAGGCGACUUUCUGGACUUUUACUGACGCUCAGGUACGAAAGCGUGGGGAGCAAACAGG
rnacentral:rRNA from 1 species